rnacentral:sRNA from 1 species
CAUGGAUAUGGAGAGUGAUCUACAAAAAUGCCAAAACUACUAAA